rnacentral:rRNA from 1 species
UUGACCUCGGAUCAGGUAGGGAUACCCGCUGAACUUAAGCAUAUCAAUAAGCGGAGGAAAAGAAACCAACAGGGAUUGCCCCAGUAACGGCGAGUGAAGCGGCAAGAGCUCAAAUUUGAAAGCUGGCUCCUUCGGGGUCCGCAUUGUAAUUUGCAGAGGAUGCUUCGGGAGCGGUCCCCAUCUAAGUGCCCUGGAACGGGACGUCAUAGAGGGUGAGAAUCCCGUAUGGGAUGGGGUGUCCGCGCCCGUGUGAAGCUCCUUCGACGAGUCGAGUUGUUUGGGAAUGCAGCUCUAAAUGGGUGGUAAAUUUCAUCUAAAGCUAAAUAUUGGCCGGAGACCGAUAGCGCACAAGUAGAGUGAUCGAAAGAUGAAAAGCACUUUGAAAAGAGAGUUAAAAAGCACGUGAAAUUGUUGAAAGGGAAGCGCUUGCGACCAGACUCGCUCGCGGGGUUCAGCCGGCAUUCGUGCCGGUGUACUUCCCCGCGGGCGGGCCAGCGUCGGUUUGGGCGGUCGGUCAAAGGCCCUCGGAAGGUAACGCCCCUAGGGGCGUCUUAUAGCCGAGGGUGCAAUGCGACCUGCCUAGACCGAGGAACGCGCUUCGGCUCGGACGCUGGCAUAAUGGUCG